rnacentral:pre_miRNA from 1 species
UUUUAUGGAUGAGCAAAAGAAAGUAGUUUGUUUAGGUGUAAUCUAUUCCUGGUGAAGAUGCUGUGAA